UGGAUAAACAGGAUUUCUGGGCCCUUUGGUAUUUGCAUGAUAAGUCCUGCGUUAAUCCUAAUCCCUAAACAAUUGGAACUCUCGAAGCGGUGUAUACUUUGUAAAUAAAGGGGUCAUAAAGCAUGAAUCAGUCUGGACCUGGUAAAAUCUCCAUUGCUAGGGUUUGACAUCAGGGCUUCCAAGAGACCUUUUCCUGGGCUAGUGUGAUUAAACUUUUCAACCACACAGCAACGACAGGCAUGUCCAAGGCCACCGAAUCAACCGCGCUCCACAUCCCCAAAGAUCGGUGUCAGUACCUCGUGAAUGCAUGACCCCUCUUGCAAAGCGAGGUUACAGAAGGAAGGUUGAUCAACAUGGCCAUGGAACUCCACCAGAAAGCUUCUGCACAGAGAAAACGUGGAUUUGGUUUCUAUUAAUGUUGGACGCACCUCCUCUCAAGCCAUAAGCCUCAAGACCAAGCAAGAGGUCGAGCAGGGUACGAGCACAAGCAUCGCCGGAGACAGUCCAAUGGUCCACAUAAUUGGGUCCUCAUCAGCCAUUAUUCAUGCACUGGACCUUCUACCCCAACUCAUGGUUCCACGUUAAAAUUCGCAAAGGAUGGGAACAUUGUUGCCAUCCCUACACGUAUUCAUUGGUUCCAAUGAGAACCGAGUUUUUGUGCGACUAUGUAUUUUUGUUAGUAUAACGUCUGUAACAUCUAACUUCAAUGUUCUUUUCUUCUUUAUUCGGUGCCAAUCAGAAAAAGUUAAUAAA